CUCUUGCCCUAGGUUCACCACCACUGCCCUAGACCCUGAUCUGAUCUCUCCCUCCCUCCCUUUUCCUGAGCCUUCUAUGUAAACCCUGAGGUUAGGACAGCUCUGUCUCCCUUAGGAAACAUGACACUCAGCCUCCACUCCGUCUGAGUUGAGCUGGCCAGAGAACCUUAGUAAAUAGCUGGAUUCAAAUUUUUUGAUCCAGUAUGAGUCAGUGUGUGAGGGAAGAAACAUUACUGAGAAACUACAAAGCUCAAGCAUUUGAGGUGACUCAAAUGCAGCAGACAAGCAGCUCACAAAGUGUGGCCCACGGAUCCUCAAAGACCUGCGUGUUCCAGGUCUUCUGGUCUUACAUCAGCCUAACAGGUACAGUGUCAUCUUGGUCAAUUGGAAAUACAUAUAUAAAAGAGCUGUACUCAUCUUCAUGAAUAUGGUUUCCUCUGGAGGAAAGGGACAGACGUGCGGACAGAGGAAACAGCUGAGACGGAUGACGUCACAUGCUACGAACAAGCUAAAGGAAUUUACAUGGUGAUGAUGUUUCUACAUUUAAGCAGUGGCAGAACAGUUACCCUAAGUAGACCUCGAAAGGACAAGUACGUGUAUUUUAAUUCCAAGACCAACCAUUAAAAAACAAGAGAGCCAGGUGCAGUGACACACACCUGUAAUUUCAGCUACAUGGGAGACUGAGACAGGAUGAUCAUAAAUCCCAGGCUAGUAUGGGAAAUUUAGUGAGAUCCUG
rnacentral:lncRNA from 1 species